rnacentral:rRNA from 1 species
AGAGUCCACAUCGACGGGGAGGUUGGGCAGCGCGAUGUCGGCGCAUCCCAUCCUGGGGCUGUAGUAGGUCCCAAGGGUUGGGCUGUUCGCCCAUUAAAGUGGUACGCGAGCUGGGUUCAGAACGUCGGGAGACAGUUCGGUACCUAUCCGUCGCAGGCGUAGGAAAUUUGAGAAGACCUGUCCUUAGUACGAGAGGACCGGGAUGGACGUACCUCUGGUGUACCAGUUGUUCUGCCAAGGGCAUGGCUGGGUAGCUAUGUACGGAAUGGAUAAGCGCUGAAAGCAUCUAAGCGCGAAGCCAACUUCAAGAUAAGAUUUCCCACCGCAAGGGUAAGACCCCAGAAAGACUAUCUGGUUGAUAGGUCGAAGGUGUAAGUGCAGCAAUGUAUUUAGCUUAUCGAUACUAAUAGGUCGAGGACUUGACCAAU